rnacentral:rRNA from 1 species
GACGAACGCUAGCUACAGGCUUAACACAUGCAAGUCGAGGGGCAGCACUAGGUAGCAAUACUGAGGUGGCGACCGGCGCACGGGUGCGUAACGCGUAUCCAACCUUCCCGAUGCUCUUGGAUAGCCUUCCGAAAGGGAGAUUAAUACAAGAUGGUGUUUCACUUUCGCAUGUUAUUGAAACUAAAGAUUUAUCGGUAUCGGAUGGGGAUGCGUGACAUUAGAUAGUAGGCGGGGUAACGGCCCACCUAGUCUACGAUGUCUAGGGGUUCUGAGAGGAAGGUCCCCCACACUGGAACUGAGACACGGUCCAGACUCCUACGGGAGGCAGCAGUGAGGAAUAUUGGUCAAUGGUCGGAAGACUGAACCAGCCAAGUAGCGUGAAGGAUGAAGGUUCUAUGGAUUGUAAACUUCUUUUAUACGGGAAUAAAACCUCCCACGUGUGGGAGCUUGUAUGUACCGUAUGAAUAAGCAUCGGCUAACUCCGUG